CUGCUUUGAUGAAGUUUUCGGAUGGAUUUAAAACAGCUUAGUGGCGGACGGGUGAGUAACGCGUGGGUAACCUGCCUCAUACAGGGGGAUAACAGUUAGAAAUGACUGCUAAUACCGCAUAAGACCACAGCACCGCAUGGUGCAGGGGUAAAAACUCCGGUGGUAUAAGAUGGACCCGCGUUGGAUUAGCUAGUUGGUGGGGUAACGGCCCACCAAGGCGACGAUCAGUAGCCGACCUGAGAGGGUGAUCGGCCACAUUGGGACUGAGACACGGCCCAAACUCC
rnacentral:rRNA from 1 species